GAUGAAGAACGCAGCGAAAUGCGAUAAGUAAUGUGAAUUGCAGAAUUCAGUGAAUCAUCGAGUUUUUGAACGCAUAUUGCGCCCUCUGGUAUUCCGGGGGGCAUGCCUGUUCGAGCGUCAUUAAAUAACCCUCAAGCAUAGCUUGGUGUUGGGCUUUUUUUACGUCCUUGACUGGGAUGGGCCUAAAAAUUAGUGGCGAUGGCUUUUUUACUUUCAAGCGUAGUAAAUCUCGUCUUGCUAAAGAGGAAAAAGAUUUUUUUUCUGCCAAAAAUUUUAACAUUUAAAGUUGACCUCGGAUCAGGUAGGAUUACCCGCUGAACUUAAGCAUAUCAAUAAGCGGAGGA
rnacentral:misc_RNA from 1 species